AUAAAAUGAAACAUGGUUUAUUCGAUCAAGAAUAUUACAAUAUUUGCAACUUCAAUGUUUGGCUUUUUAAGGUCAUGUUUUCUGGAUUUCUGUCUGUGGAAACAGGUUGGACAAUUACUGACGCAGCAAAACAGAUUUACUUACAUGUGUGCAUGAUUGAUGAAAUCCGUAAAAUAUGACCCGAUGGUGGUACUUAAGGACUAGAGGUAGUGACAUUAAUAACAAAGGAACUAACACAAAGAGAACUUGUUGAGAUCGGAAUCAGUAUGAUAUCCCAGCUGUUGGGAUCCCGUUGGUCAGCAUACCGACUACGGAAUCCUGACAGCUGGAAUACCGGUGGCGAGUACAGCGUGUCUGCUAGCCACACUUUGGGCCCUGUGGUGACCUUAGGUCACCACUCUAAUCUAUUCCCGCUCGGGUGGGAUCCGGGUGGUGGUCGGAAUUAUGACCACCAGCAUUUCACUUUGUGUCAGGAUUUCGGAGUCGCUAUUUUGACCGUUGGGAUCCCAGCAGCCGGCAACGUGAUUGCCUCCCGUCACAUUGUCUGGAGAAAGAACAUAUCCUAUAAACUUUAUGUUAAAAAUAAAGAAUGAAUACAGAUACAUUAAAAUGAAGAACGACAUUGUUUUUCUUAUGGAAAUCUGCAUCUGCUUGAUAAGUCACAUAAGUACCUUCAAAAUUAAAAAAUUAGAGUUGCAUCCAAGAUGGAUAAACUUCAAGAUAGCUGCCAUACUAGUCACAUACCUUAAAACUUUUUCCCUCACUCCCAUAUCAUAUUGGUAAACAGUGGAUUAAUAUUUCCUUACUAAUCUCCUUUUUAUAAAAGGUGCUUCCACACUUAUGGGCCACCCUGUAUUUUCAUGGCUUUAUAUGCAAAUGAAUAAAAGCAUGCCCAUAGUAUUGUUUUCAUUCAGUGAAUACUGAUAGUUUACAGAUCCCUAAUAUAACGUACUAGAUCACUCAUUUAAAAUCAUUUCCCUCUAUGAGCAAAAUAGAGCACUUCAACUGAUUCAUUUGUCAACAUCUUGUACCUGUGUUGACUUUUAUGUUUUAGGCUCUACAAUAUGUCCAUAUUUUUAUGGAAUUGCCCAAAAGAAAGAUUUGUUAGUAAAUAAAAUAAGACCUUAAUUAAUGAGUAAAAAGUUUUGUUUUGCCCCCUUGUCACGCAAUAUAACUCUGAUAUACAAAUCAAACAAAUAUUGAAGAAUAACUGGUAUGUUCUGAAGUUAGAUACAGUAUUAGCAGAAUAUCUUCCUGAAAGACCAAAUGUGCUUUUUAAAAAGGCAAAGUGGGGAAUUAAAUUGUUUGAAAAGUCGGUUGGGUGUCUGUUUUUUCCUGUCUAUUAAACACCCAGCUGACUUUUCAAACAAUUCAAUACCCCC